rnacentral:rRNA from 1 species
CACGUAGGGCGCAAGCGUUGUCCGGAAUUAUUGGCGUAAAGCGCGCGUAGGCGGUUGCCUAAGUCGGACGUGAAAGCCCUCGGCUUAACCGAGGAAGUGCAUCCGAAACUGAGCAGCUAGAGUACGAAAGAGGGUCGCGGAAUUCCCGGUGUAGAGGUGAAAUUCGUAGAUAUCGGGAGGAACACCGGCGGCGAAGGCGGCGACCUGGGGUCGAGACUGACGCUGAGGCGCGAAAGCGUGGGAGCAA